rnacentral:lncRNA from 1 species
UCACUAAUUAGUUUCACAUUCAACCAACAAAAUCAAAAGACAAGAAAAUGUCGUUAAAGUAAAGGAAAUAACGACACACAAUUAACGAUAUUAUUAUUUAUUCAUUAUGAUAAAAAUAUUUAAGUAAUUGAAGGGAGUGUGCAUACAUUUUUUUUGGUUGAAAAGGAUAUUUAUUUAUUCAUAUAUAAUUAGCAUCCAUACAAGAUCGGUGGCCUGAAGCAUUAGAAACAACUUGAUUACAUUACACACGUACACAUAAGAAAUUAUUAUCACACUAACAUAAAAUAGUUUAACAAACCUUUUAAGAUACUUAUUAUUUUGGUAAUUUUUCAUACCAUUUGUAGCAAACUAUGCUUUAUUGUUGGCAUUAGCAAAAAACAACCCUAUAAUUUGUACUAUCACUAGGGCAAGCAAAUAAGCUAGUAGGAUCAUCUUGUGGGUAGCUAUAUGCAUCAGGGCAUCUCUGUUUGAAAAAUCUGGACAAGUCGUUAGGACCACAUUGACCUAUGGUACAAGGAUUGUUGCAUCCUCCGGGUACUUUAAGUUGACCAGGGCAUUCACCAUUUAUAUUGGCUGUGCAUUGAACUGCGUGGCAUUUUCCUCCACUAGGAUUGGUCGGGGCGAAAGUCAUUGGUAUAUUGAAUCCUUCGAUUAAAGAAAUGUCCCAGAAAUCUAGGUUGCUAAAUUGGUUCAAGGCAUAUUCAGCUAGGGUGUUUGGCGAUUUACCCCAGCCGGUACACUGCAAGACUCCACCACAAUCACCGGUCUGGCAAGAACCUCUACCAGAACCAUCAAAGUUGCAAUUAGUACGACCCCAUAUACGUNNNNNN